rnacentral:rRNA from 1 species
CCUACGGGAGACAGCAGUGAGGAAUAUUGGUCAAUGGGCGGGAGCCUGAACCAGCCAAGUCGCGUGAGGGAAGACGGUCCUACGGAUUGUAAACCUCUUUUGCCGGGGAGCAACGGGGUCCUUGCGAGGGCCCGAUGAGAGUACCCGGAGAAAAAGCAUCGGCUAACUCCGUGCCAGCAGCCGCGGUAAUACGGAGGAUGCUGGCGUUAUCCGGAUUUAUUGGGGUGAAAGGGUGCGUAGGCGGGCUGUUAAGUCAGCGGUCAAAUGUCGGGGCGCAAACCCGGCCUGCCGUUGAAACUGGCGGCGUCGAGGGGGCGAGAAGUAUGCGGAAUUCGUGGUGUAGCGGGGAAAUGCAUAGAUAUCACGAAGAACUCCGAUGGCGAAGGCAGCAUACCGGCGCCCGACUGACGCUGAGGCACGAAAGCGUGGGUAUCGAACAGGAUUAGAUACCCUUGUAGUC